rnacentral:rRNA from 1 species
AGCUCCAAUAUCGUAUAUUAAAGUUGUUUUUUUUCCCCCGCUCUUCUUUUUCUCUCCCCCUCCUUUAAGCGGUUAACUUUGUAGUUUUACUGCUUUGUAGGCUGUGCUUUUGCUGGAGGUUUAGGGGUGCUCUUGAUCGAGUGUCUCUGGAUGCCAGCAGGUUUACUUUGAAAAAAUUAGAGUGCUCAAAGCAGGCUAAAAUGCCUGAAUAUUCGUGCAUGGAAUAAUAGAAUAGGAUGUCGAUCCUAUUUUGUUGGUUUUCGGGACUCGACAUAAGGAUAAAUAGGGACAGUCGGGGGCAUUUGUAUUCAAACGACAGAGGUGAAAUUCUUGGACCGUUUGAAGACAAACUACUGCGAAAGCAUUUGCCAAGAAUGUUUUCA